GACGAACGCUGGCGGCGUGCCUAAUACAUGCAAGUAGAACGCUGAAGGAGGAGCUUGCUUCUCUGGAUGAGUUGCGAACGGGUGAGUAACGCGUAGGUAACCUGCCUGGUAGCGGGGGAUAACUAUUGGAAACGAUAGCUAAUACCGCAUAAGAGUAGAUGUCGCAUGACAUUUGCUUAAAAGGUGCAAUUGCAUCACUACCAGAUGGACCUGCGUUGUAUUAGCUAGUUGGUGAGGUAACGGCUCACCAAGGCAACGAUACAUAGCCGACCUGAGAGGGUGAUCGGCCGCACUGGGACUGAGACACGGCCCAGACUCCUACGGGAGGCAGCAGUAGGGAAUCUUCGGCAAUGGACGGAAGUCUGACCGAGCAACGCCGCGUGAGUGAAGAAGGUUUUCGGAUCGUAAAGCUCUGUUGUAAGAGAAGAACGAGUGUGAGAGUGGAAAGUUCACACUGUGACGGUAUCUUACCAGAAAGGGACGGCUAACUACG
rnacentral:rRNA from 1 species